rnacentral:tRNA from 1 species
AUUUAUUUAGUUUAACCAAAACGCUACAUUUUCAAUGUAAAAAUACUACUAAUAGUAAUAAAUU